AUUGGUAAUUUAAAAAGACUGUUAAUGCGCAACACCGAACACAAUAACGUCAAUGUCAUCUGUCUAUCAAGUGCAAGUCAAUUCAACGUCAACUGUCAACUGUCAUUCUCAACACUAAUCUGUAAUUAAUUUUCACUAACUGAAAAAAAAAUGUACGCUUCAAUCAAAAUUAAAAUCACUGAAGAUAAUCCUGACAAUAUUAUUGAAAUUACACAAAUUCCACCAACAAUACUAAGAAAUCACAUUCUCCUCAACAUUUUUGGACCUAACGAGCUGGAUUCGUCGGCGUCACGAUCAAGAUCAAGAAAAGAAGAUCGAGUCGGGCAAAUCCUUUGUUCACAAUUCACUAAUUCCCUCCCUUUACCGUUCUCGUUUACCCUUUUUCCGUGUUAACUUCUUAUUAAAAUAUACUGGACUUCGCUUCUUUACUGUAAGUACUUUUAUAAACCUCCAUAAAAAUGAUUAGUGACGAACAAAAUGUGAAUAUUCCACGAUCGCCACAUAACGUCAAAAUGGCGGAACUAAUUAGAAAACGUGGCACGUACAAAGGGCGUCUUACUAUUUUUGAAAAAUUCAUAUCUAAAUUCGACUUAACUAAUACUUCAUUAUCACCAAUUCAAAUGUCAGAAAUUAACUUGAGAUUUAAAUCCAUCAGUAGUUUAUAUAAUGUAUUUAAUGACUUACAAACACAAAUCGAAGAAGCGUGCCGGGAUGUAGAUUUAACAAAACAAUAUGAAGAAAGAGAAGUGUUUGAAGAACAGUAUUACAGAGCUUUAGCCUCCGCAGAGUGCUUAAUCAAACUUAAUGACGCUUCUAGUUCUAAGUGCACCCCAUGUGGGGAACACUCAAAUAAGCCACUAUCUAUUAAGUUACCGGACAUCAAAUUACCGACGUUUGAUGGAUCAUAUGACCAUUGGCUAGAGUAUAAAAACUCCUACAUAACUAUGAUCCACUCACGCACAGAUUUAGACCCCAUACAAAAAUUUCAUUACCUGAAGUCCUCGCUCAAUGCGGCAGCAUUGCAGGUCAUCAGCGCAUUAGAGUUCACUGCAGAGAAUUAUGCACAUGCGUGGGAUUUACUUCAAAAUAGGUAUAAUAAUAAUCGUUUGCUAAUAUAUAACCAUGUCAAAGCUUUGUUUUCCAUUACAUCCUUGAAUAAAGAAUCUGCCCCACUAAUUAGGAAGUUAAUUGAUACUAUUCUUAGAAAUCUUAGGGCUCUGAGUACACUAGGUGAGCCUACUGAAUCAUGGGACACAUUAAUUAUAUACUUAGUUGUAAGUAAACUCGACCUAUCCACUGAGCGCAAAUGGGAACAACAUAAAGGGUCUUAUAAUUUAAAUUCACACCAAGAAUCAAACCCAGUUAAGCUAGAUCAUUUAAUACAGUUUUUAAGGGAUAGGGCAGAUGUUUUGGAUGUUUUAAAAACUAAUUGCAGUAAGAGUGACUCUAGACACAAUAUGAUUAAUAACGCUAAUAAUAAUAAUAAUCAAUCAAUUAGGAAAGUAUCCUUCAAUCAACAUCAGUCGCACAGUCAUGUUACUUCACAAGUUAACAAAAACAAUUCACAUUCCAAAUACACUCAAGCUUGCCCUAUGUGUGAUGAUUCACAUCCAAUUUAUUCAUGUACUAAGUUUCUAGAUUUAUCGAUUAAUGAUAGAAUUAAAUUAGUGGAUUCCAAGAAGUUAUGCAGGAACUGUCUUCGCAGAAAUCACACUAGUUCGGACUGCCUAUUUGGUCCGUGUAAGAAGUGCUCAUCCAAACAUAAUACACUUCUGCAUAGUCAUGUAGUUAUUGAAAAUGUAAACGCAUCAACAUCAUAUGUACACACAAAUACAUCUUUGCCAGUUGAUAUGAGCCCUUCAUCUCACUCAACUGCCUUGAACUGUACCGAAUAUCCCUCUAAGUCACACACAAAGGAGAUUACUUUAAAUAAUUAUAAUUCACACAACUUAGUUUUGCUAUCUACUGCCUUGGUAGACGUAGUAGCUAGUGAUAAUAAAUUACAUACAGCACGGGUUUUGCUGGACACUGGCAGUCAAAUAUGCCUUAUUAACCAAUCAUUUGCACACAAAAUAAACGCACAACUUAUACAGUCCUCUGUUCAAGUUAUGGGAGUAGGUCAUGCAGUCACUCAAAGCGCACAUAAGUGUACUGUUAAAAUACACUCAAGAGUAAACAAUUUUCAUACACACAUACAAUGUUUGGUUUUACCUCGCAUCACAGCCAGUAUGCCACCAUGCCAGUUAGACAUUAGUAAAAUUUGUAUUCCAAACAACAUUAAACUUGCAGAUCCUAAUUUUCAUCAUCCUUCUGAUAUUGAUAUUUUAAUAGGUGUUGAUAAAUUUUGGGAAUUUCACAACAAGGGUUUCAUAAAGCUAUCAACAGGGCCAUAUUUACAUGAAACCAAACUAGGUUGGGUCAUAUCUGGACCAAUACACACAAGUGCUAACUUGCGCAUCAAUAAUCAAGUUAGUUGUAACCUAACUAGUAGUUUAGAUAGUCAAUUAAAAAGAUUCUGGGAGUUGGAAGAAAUUCCUUCCUCGGGGAGCAAAAUGCUCACAGCAGAUGAACUCACUUGUGAACAAAUUUUCUUAUCAACUCACCACCGAGAACCUGAUGGUAGGUUUUCUGUUAGAAUUCCUCUAAAAGAACCCGCUGAUGUUUUAGGGGACAGCUAUUCAUUAGCCGAGAAGAGAUUUUAUUCAUUGGAACGCAAGUUUAGAAAUUCACCUGAUCUUAAAGAAAAGUAUUGUGAAUUUAUGCGCACAUAUGAACAAUUGGGGCAUAUGACACAAAUUGACACUUAUAGUUAUCCUUAUUAUAUGUUACCACAUCAUGGUGUUAUUAAUGAAAAUUCAAAAACAACAAAACUACGUACCGUGUUUGAUGCAAGUGCUGUCACCAGUACAGGAAAAUCCUUAAAUAGUAUACAACAUAUUGGGCCUACUUUACACAAUGAUAAUUUUUCUAUUCUUCUUCGUUUUCGUCAAUACAAAUAUGUUGCAUGUGCUGACAUAGAGAAAAUGUACCGACAAAUUAAUGUACAGACUGAUCAACGCACUUUACAGUUAAUUUUAUGGCGAGAGAAUCCUUCUGACUCUUUGAAAAUAUUUAGGCUCAAUACGGUUACAUAUGGUACUGCAUCGGCUCCUUAUUUGAGUAUUAGAUGUUUAAAGCAACUUGCACAGGAAUGUGAAAAUAAGUACACUGUCCCAGGAGAGGAUAACAAUUAUGUGUCUAAAAUAAUCAAUGAAGAUUUUUUUGUUGAUGAUCUAAUCACUGGCCAUGACAAUCAUGAUACCCUCAUGCAAAUUUGUGAUCACAUCACAUCAGUUUUAGCCUCAGGAUGUUUUCCAUUACAUAAAUGGUUAUUUAAUACUUGCUUAAACACACCUAAUGAAUCAAGACAUUUAUCUUUAGGAGAUGAUUGUUCAAAUAAAACUCUCGGUUUGGGUUGGUUCACUCAAAGUGAUGAAUUAUAUUUCACUACCAAACUUAAGGUAAACACACACACUGUUACUAAACGUUCAAUGUUAUCUGUAAUUGCUCAGAUUUAUGAUCCACUUGGGUUGUUAUCACCAACAAUCAUAUGUGCCAAAAUCUUAUUGCAAAAAUUAUGGCUUUCCAAACUUGACUGGGAUGACCCCGUUCCUCAUGAUGUGGUUCAGUCUUGGGAAAAGUUUAUUAAAUCAUUUGACUGUUUAAAGGAUAUUCGCAUUCCUCGACAUGUUAUAGGUUCACAUAAUCAAUACAUUGAACUUCACAUUUUCAGUGAUGCUUCACAAAGUGCUUAUGGUGCUUGUAGUUAUAUACGUUCUUAUUCAGACAAUUCACCAGUGUUUAUCAAAUUGUUAUGUUCAAAAAGUAAAACAGCUCCAUUAAAAGCUAUAAGUAUUCCUCGAUUAGAACUAUGUGGAUCUUUAGUGGGUGCCAAAUUGUUUGCAAAAAUAAGUAAAUCAUUGCGACUUAAAUUUCAUAAAGUAUAUUUUUGGACGGACUCCACCAUAGUGCUUGGAUGGCUUCGCAUGUCACCACAUCUUUUAAAAUCAUUUGUACAAAACCGAGUUACUGAGAUUAAUGAUAUUGCAAGUGAAGCUUGUUGGAGACACGUUAGCAGUGGGGACAACCCUGCUGAUUUGUUAUCUCGAGGCAUGAGUUUUGAUGCGCUUGAUAAAUGUCAAUUAUGGUGGAAUGGUCCUGCUUUUUUACACAAUCAUCAUUCAGAAUGGCCACAAAGGCAUUUUACAAAAGAAGUUCCUUCAGAUUUACCAGAAUUAAAAUCUGCAAGUGUAACUGAGAUGUCACUACAUUUAAAUUUAUAUAGUGGGUUAUUUGAUUUCAAUCGGUUUUCAUCAUUUAAUCGCUUAAAGCGCAGUGCAGCCUACGUACUACGAUUUAUUCAAAAUUCUCGUACAAAACGCAAUAAUCGUUUGGUUGGUCCGCUCUCGGUUGAAGAGCUGAAUACUUCCAGUACAUUAUUGACGCGAAUAUCACAAAUAGAGUCAUUUCCUUUAGAGUACAACUGUUUAACGAAAAAUUUAAAACUAAAAUCUACUAAAAGUAUUACCGGUUUAUCUAUUUUUCUGGAUAAAGAUGGGUUAAUACGCAUAGGUGGUAGACUUGCAAAUUAUGACAAUUUUUCUUACAAUAAAAAGCAUCCUGUUUUACUCGAUAGCAAACAUUGUUUCACUCGUUUGUUAUUUGCAUUUGAACAUAAAAGAUUAUUCCACGCAGGACCUCAGUUACUUUUAUAUCACAUUAGAGAGGAAUGGUGGCCUUUAAAAGGUAGAAAUUUGGCUAGACAAACAGUUCAUAGAUGUGUUACUUGCACACGUUUCAAAGGUCAAACCUUGACACCCAUUAUGGGAAAUCUACCCUCAGAACGUUUUCAAUCAGGUUUUCCCUUCAUGCGCUGCGGAGUGGAUUAUGGAGGCCCAAUUUUGAUACUUAAUCGACGAGGUAGGGGUGCGCGAUUGGAAAAGAGUUAUAUUUGCUUAUUUGUUUGUUUUAGUACUCGUGCGGUGCAUUUGGAAUUAGUCACUAGUUUAACAACUGAUGGAUAUUUACAGGCUCUGAAAAAAUUUAUAUCUAGGCGUGGAAAACCAUUAGAAAUUCACUCAGAUAAUGCCAAAACGUUUAUUGGUGCUAUGAAAGAGUUUUCCGAUUUCAUAGACAACAAUUCAGAUGCAAUAGUAGAGUAUGCACAUGAUAAUCAUAUCAAAUUUAAAUUUAUUCCACCUUAUGCGCCUCAUUUUGGAGGUUUAUGGGAGGCAGGCAUCAAAUCCUGUAAAUUUCACUUAAAACGCGUGGUAGGCAAUGCCCAUUUAACUUAUGAAGAAUUUAGCACGGUUUUAGCCCAAAUUGAGGCUAUUCUAAAUUCUCGUCCGAUUUCCCCUUUGUCCUCUAAUUCCUCAGACCUUUUACCUCUUACCCCCGCUCACUUCCUCAUUGGCCGCCCACUGACAGCACCAGCUUCUGAAGAUCUGACUACUACACCAUCACAUCGGUUGACACGCUAUCACAGAAUUGAACAACUCAGACAACAUUUCUGGCAACGUUGGUCUAAGGAGUAUGUCUCUGAACUCCAAACUAGAACUAAAUGGAAGAGUCCAAGUCGAGAUAUCACCGAAGACAUGUUAGUCCUUAUAAAAGAAGAUAAUUCUCCACCCUUAAAAUGGCGUCUUGGAAGAGUCACUGAAGUCUCAAGAGGCAAAGAUGGAGUAGCUCGAGUUGCCUAUAUUCGCACAUCUGAAGGCAUAAUUCAAAGGGCUUGUUCGAAAAUAUGCCCCAUCUUUCCAGAGGACGAGGACCCUGAAGAAGAAGACAUUGGAAGAGUUCUUCCAAGGCCGGGGGCAUGUUAAUGCGCAACACCGAACACAAUAACGUCAAUGUCAUCUGUCUAUCAAGUGCAAGUCAAUUCAACGUCAACUGUCAACUGUCAUUCUCAACACUAAUCUUUACGAUAAUCGGUGGAUUAGUGUUCCUGUUCUUCGCCGUGAGUGCACUAGUGAUCGGCCCGGGCGAAUAGAUCAAUAAAUACGGUACUCGAGUUAAGUUGAUCGCACAUUGUGCUCCAAGAUCCGGCUUUACGAUUAUAUACUCUCUCUCAUCUGUUAUAUAUUAGUGAUAAGAAAAAGAUGAGAGAUUUAUUUGGGAUAAGAAAUGAAUGACAUAAUAUUUACUGUGACAUAUUACAAAUAGGUGCUUAAAUUACGGCCAGACACAUUUACCAUACAAAAUCUAGGAAUAUAUUAUCAAAGGCAAUACAGUUAAAUUAAGCCUAAAAUAACACAAAUAGACAUACUAAACGACUGAAAUAUAAAUAACAUUCACUUAACUGUUUUAUAUAGGCAACCUCACAGUUGCAGUGUGAAAGCAGGUAACCUUUGCGUUUUCAAUUCUGUUGGGUAUAUACUUAUUACUAGUGUUCGAGUUUGAUUUAUUAACCAAUGAGGGAAGUAGAUCAAAUAAAUUUAAUUACAGUGGGAAUGCACAUAUCACAUAUUAACAUCCAACUUAAAAUCCAUUUGCUCGUAGUCUUUUUGACUGAUUGUACGAUGAAAUGAAACAAAAAAAAUAAUCAUUUAAUACUAUCCGGCCACAAUUUAACUAGGCAACCUAUUUGCAUUAUGUCAAUGUAAAUAUUUUCUAUCAUUAAUUUCUUAUAUCAAAUAAAUAACAGAUGAAGGUAUAUAUUUCUUAUGACCAGACCUACUACUUUCGACACAAGGGCUGCAAGCGGCGUUUUCUUCAGUACAAUGUCAAUGCACAACUGCUAUAGACAUCCGCAAUUUGCGGGUCCGCUGCGGUUGUAUAGUGUGCAAUCAACUUUAAUAAUAAUUGUUAUAGACGAUUUUACUAUAAGCGACAAUAUUGUAUUUAGCUUGUAAUAUUUGUUGUUGAAUAUGUUUAUCUCAUGAUUAAAAUAUGGGUUUAGAAUUAGAAUAGUAAAAUAUGGGGGUGUUCAUAAACUUGUUUUAUGAACAUCCUGUAUAUUGACACUGGCAAUUUUUUGGGAAACAUUUUCAUGUUAAACGCUGAAAUUUUAUAGAGAUUUCUUGUAAAAAAAAUAAUUUAGGUAGUCCUAAUUUUACCAGUGUAAUUAAUUGUAAUUAAACUCUAGAUGUAAGUUUGUUUUUAACUUUUAACAAGAAAGUUUUAAAUUUUAAAAUUAUGCAUUUAUUUAUAAAUAACGAAGAAUAUUAACAUCGUGUGACAGAAAGACAAGAUUCAAAGUUCGGGGUAUUUAAAAAAAAGUAAUAAAUUUGACAUAUGUACUUUCGAGUACACGUAUACACAGAGAACUGCCUCAUUUUCCCAGUUUAGCUUGUACAAUUAACACGAGAUCCUGGGUUCGGAUCCCGGAUCAAGGCAACAAAAAUACAGUUAUUGGAUUUUCCGAAAUUCUCUAUAGUCGCUUCAACUCCGUGCCUCCAAGAAGCACGUAAAGUCGUGAAGCAGCGAUUUUAAGCCUGUAGCCCUAAGGCUUAAACGACAUAUGUCGUGGAGAGAAAAAUUCAUUGUCGACAAAUAGCGGUGGAGUUAAAAAUCUAUAUUUCGAUAAAAUAGCUCUUUCGUCUCAUUAAUGAGAGAACGAUAAUUUCGAUUUUCGGGUAUUGGACGAUAUAUUUCGUCUUUCGCAUAAUAGAUACAUAAUAUACAGAUCUCUCUUGUUUAGUCUAACUGCUGCUUCAUCGGACUGAAAAGAAAAAUAAUGAAAGUUAGGGAAUACAGAAUAAACCUGUGUUUGCACACACACUUGUAUAAUAUCUCCCGUUUGAACUGAGUCUAUAAGUGAGAUUGGCCGCCGAGGCCAAAUUCGGAAUAAUUGUAUGAAUUUAUGUAUUUUAAUUAAUAGGUACAUAACUUAAAUUAUUUAGACUACGAGAUUGUUUUUGAUGUUAUUAAAUAAUAUGUAAUUACCAAGGAUUUAUAUUUAGUUAGUUACCGUAAGCAGCUCCGAAAGAUUAGUGCCAAACAAAAAUUGAAAUAAAAUUGCGUCUUAUUUAAAAUUUUCAACUAUUAAACGUUUAGCAGAAAUCCAUUUUGCACAAUGAAAAUUAAUACCUAAUUUAUUUUAUCAUCCAAUGAAAAUUAAGUGUUCAAUUGUUAAGUAAUUUUACAAUUAUUAUUUUUUUAUAUCGAUCAUAAUAAUAUCAUCCCGAUUUUUUCGCGUCGAUUUAAAUGACAUCAUCGUACUGUAAAAUAUAACCAAUAUCAGACUGUUAAAUGAACGGGCGGCAUCUAGCCGAAUAUAAAUCCGUGAUGAUCACGUUAGUUUGAAUAAUGUCAAUUACCUUCCUAACCUAUUCGCCUUCAGAAUGCCUCUUAAAAUAGUUGUACGAAUUUAUGUUUUUAAGUAAGCAGUUUAUUUAUUAAGUUAUUUUAUAAUAAUCUCGCAAUACAAUAGUGUGUUUAUUAUUGGAUGAUGCGGAUGUCAAAUCAGGAAUCGGAGUUUGAUACAGAAAGGAAAAAUUACUACACACGUACCAGUUUGUGUAAUAAUAGUUUGAGGUAAGCAGCCACUGAUAUAACAUAAGACAAAUACGUCCCAUUUUACAAUGCCUUAUUAAAAUUAUUGACGUAUACAUUAAACAAUCGAGUCAUUUAAGCUUAAUAUUUACAAAAUUAAGUGUUAUUUUUUUAUAUUUUCGAUUUAUUUUAUUUCAAAAACGAUUAACGAGUAUGUCGGUGUACUCUCCAAUCAAUUACAUUAUCCGUCAAACUUCAUACGCGUUGACUGAUCAUCCGCACCAUCCUGUAUGAACAGACUUUAGUCAUAAUACAUUAUUAGUUUCUGAAUUUUAGUAUGAACAAUGAAUUAUUAUUUUAUUUUGCGAAAAGUCGACGAAUAGUAGACUUAAGAUGUGUGCACGACACAUGUCGUAACGAGAAAAAUACAUAUUGCGACCAAUAGCAGCUAACUUGGAAAUAUCGCUCUUUCAGUGCGAUUGGAUAGAAGAGACAAAGAUAUCUUCGAUCGCCUGCUAUUGGUUGACAAUAUUAAGUCUUUUCAUCUUCAAGAGAUAUCGAGAUGUAUCGUUGUUUUUUCGCAAUUUUGUAAUUUAUCUAUGCAAUAAUCGUGAGUUUAAUUAGUUUACUAUAAUAAUAAAUUUAUAAGUUAAUAAUGAAUAUCACUUUGUACGCUUGGUCUUAAGUUUAGUGUUAAGUUUUAGAUCAACAUUGUGUUUAGCACUUGGUAAUUUGUGACAUGUGUCAUAAUUUACUUUACCGUAUAUACCAUGUAUUUUACAAUUUAUUUAACUAUCUACUUUACUUUUCUACAAAUAUUGAAGAUUUUAGAAUUUAAACUAUCGUGAAUGUUAUUCAUAUGCCAGACUAGUUUCGAACCCAUACGGGGCCCUUAGUCAUGUGCUGGUUCUUGCAACGUGGGACGAUCAACUCAUGACUAAAGGCCCCGUAUAGGUUCGAAACUAGGCUGGCAUACUCCGACGUAUCACGUGAGUUUUAGCUGUGUUUUAUAACAAAUUCAUUGAAGAUUUCGUCAAUACUAAACGAUCAUUUAGACUGGUUUUAUAAAUUUAAAGGAACUUUCAAUUGAUACACACACGCGCCUGGAGGGCUAUUCUGUAAAUGAUGUUUCGUAUAAAUCGCAAGUGCGUUCUCUUUCUAUAGUAUCGUUUUAGACAGAGAGAGAUAGAGGUGAAUACGAAACUCGCAUUUGCGAGAUAUAUAAAACAUCGUUACAGAAUAGUCAUCCUGCAGUCCAAUUCACUAACUUUGACGUAUGUUAAUUGAAAUUGAGAUUCUUUAAAACAUAUGUCAUCCGGUGCCAACUGACAACCCUUUGUGGAUAUGAUACAGUAGAAAACAUUUCUCAUUUGAUUUGAUAUUUAUUUUAAUAGGUUGAUAUGAAUAGGCCAGCAAGUUUAUGAUCUUACAUCCAAAGCAAACGGACUUUCCGGAAUAGAUUGACUAUUUGUUCAUUUGUACUUUUUAUUUUUUGUACUCAAGUUGUGGUAUAAAAAGCUUGAGAUUUGUUUUGAAAACCAGAUAUUUAUAUGUACGUUAUUAGAUAUAAAGGAAAAACCUAUAACGUUAAUGUAUAGAAUAAUGUUUUUUAUUCAAUAUAAUCUGACGGCCUCCGUGGCGCAGUGGUACGCGCGGUGGAAUUACAAAACGGAGGUCCUGGGUUCGAUCCCCGGCUGGGCAUUUUGAGAUUUUCUCAAUUGGUCCAGGUCUGGCUGGUGGGAGGCUUCGGCCGUGGCUAGUUACCACCCUACCGGCAAAGACGUACCGCCAAGCGAUUCUUCGUUCCGGUACGAUGCUGUUUAGAAACCGAAAGGGGUGUGGAUUUUCAUCCUCCACCGAACAAGUUAGCCCGCUUCCAUCUUAGACUGCAUCAUCACUUACCAUCAGGUGAGUUUGUAGUCAAGGGGUAACUUGUAAUGAAUAAAAAUAAAUAAAUAAAUAAAAAUGUUAAAAAUUAGCGCUAGAUGACCGUUUAUCGUAGAAAUAAUUCGAAUAAAUUGACGUAUAGUUGCGCCCAGUAGUAGCAAAAGAACAACAAUUUAUAAUUUCCAAAAAAAAAUCUACGAUAGUUAUAAUACAAUACAAAAUCACCGCAAAAAGUGAUACGAAUUUUAGUUCAGGUCUAGCCGCGGGACUUAUUUCAUGGCGCGGAGUCUAAUACGGGACUAUUUCAGGACUAAAUAUCUUUAGUAAGGUGACUGUAGCUACAAUGGAUGCAUGUAGUUCAAAAAAUUGUAGUUUAGAUAAACCGUUUGAAUGUCAAAAAACUAAAUUAGUAAGCUAACUUAACCAUUUACGACAUAUAUAUUUAUAAAUAUACAAUAUACAUAAUAAUAUGAUAUUGUUAAUCAAUUUUGUCUGUGAUGAUUUUUUUACUAUUUAUUCGUACUUCAUUUUCUGACCGGCUUGUUUUUACAAAUGCUUCAAUUGUAAGAUGAGAAGGAAGUUAUUUUUGCACUGAUUAUGUCAAAAGGCGAAGACAAUGGUCAAUGACCCAAACUCCGGCAGCUCAGAGAUAGCGUUUCUGACAGGUCGUACGAAUGGGACAAACAUGUUCAAUUACAAUUACCUCGUUUUUCGUAUCUCUCUCUCUCUCUCUCUCUCUCUCUCUAUCCUGCUCAUGUUACAUCGCCCACCUGUCAAAAAACGCAAACUGAGCAGCCGGACUUCAAUAUAGGUUUUCUCCUAAAUUACAGGAGAACUUACUCUAUGAGCAACUACACAAGCUCAAAAGGGCUAGAACUAUUGUCCUUAAACCAGAAAACCCAUCCCUUUGGACCCAUCCCUAAUAAAUUACAUACACGUAAUUUGAAAAUUGGAUAAACAAUGCGAAAUCUGUUUUAAUUACCAUCGUAUUAUUUAGGUAAACUGUUAGGUACUGAUUUAUUGUUUGCAGUAGCAAACAAAUCCGUUAAAAACAUGUGACGUAUGCCAGAGAGAGACUAAUAAAGACAUACUCGUACGUUGACAUGAAAAGAUCUAUAUAACGUUACAUACACAUAGGUGCUAAAACUUUGUUAUUGAUGAAUAUUGUUUUUAGUAAAAAUAACUUUAUUUAAUUUCCAGAUUUUCAAUAUUUUAUUUAUUGUAACAUUUUCUCCCCGGACGAUUGAGUUACUUAAAUUAAUUCCUUAAUAUUGAUAUUUAAAUACCUGAUUAAUGCGUCUGGCGUCCGCUUCUGACUUGAUGUCUGUACUGUAGUCUGCAUCUCUGUACUGAGCUGUCGAAGACUCAUUCAUGUUUGAUUUUAUAUAGCGCCAUCUAUCGGAAUCUAUCCAAAUUUGCUCUCGGAUGGUACUAUUUAUUUUACAUCUGGUCGGAAUACGACUGUUAUGCAGAAGUACUUACUGUAUUCCGGUCGUAAUCAUGGUUGUCGGUGAAAUUUUUACAGGCAUGAGGCAUACCUGUCUCAGAACACAGAAAACUCCAGAAGGUGUGGUCGCACAUACGAAUGAAGCCGUUGAAAUUACUCUAUUUUUUUUCUUGUGAUUUCACGACCAAGCGAUUAGUAUACCGUGUUGUGUGGCGUGCUAUACAGGUACAUUUUUUGGACACUGCGUGCUUCUGCUUCAUAAUGAUAGCUAAACGUGGCUUCUGCUAUUUUCGGUAUUCUGAGACCUGUCUCAAAUUGAUGGACACAGGGCGGCACUAUGUAGGAUGCGUUCCUUGCUUUGCGAAGUAUAUUAUAUUUAGAUAUUUAUAAAUAAUGGUUUUCAACUUGCCAUCGGUAGCUAACAUGCGACCAAGUGAAGAGAUAUAGACAAAACGUCGACCAAUAGCGGCGGAGUUGUCCUAUCUCUUACGUCCCAAUGCAAUGAAAGAGGUCUUUCCGGUUGCAACGCUAUUGGUUGAAAUUUGUCUAUUCUUUUCACGAUAUUAUCUCGUCGGUCGCAUACACUACAGGUGGGCCCAUCUGCUUGGUCUAUCCAUAAUUAUUACUAAGUAAAAAAGAAAAACUUUAGAAAUUGGAUCGUUUAUCACAACUUAGUUACAUGCAAACUUGUCCGUGUUUUUUAUUUUAUAUCCUAAUUUAUAAUAAAAUAUAAAUGCGAAUGUGAAUUUGUUUUCAUUAUAUCUUAUGCUUUCACGCCUAAACCACAAAUAGUUUUUUUUUUAAAGAACAGUUUAAAUGGAUAAAACACAAAUAUAAUAUGACACAGUAAUAUACUAAAUGAUGAGAUUGUGAUAAUAUAAUGUAGGUAUACUAUAUUAUGUAAUAUAUUAAGUGUAUAUUGUAUUUAAGUAACUAGCCACUUUAAUUUUCGUGUAAAUGUAAGUACAAAAAUGAUUGUAAAACUUGAAAAAAUUGGAUCGCAAAUUCCGAAUAUAAUGCUUGGCUAGGUGGUUUGUAAAAAGUAUUAUUUUUAUGUAAAGAAGAUUAAUAAAAAAAAUAUGUCGA